UACGGAGGACGCAAGCGUUAUCCGGAUUUAUUGGGUUUAAAGGGUGCGUAGGCGGGAAAAUAAGUCAGUGGUGAAAUCCUACAGCUUAACUGUAGAAUUGCCGUUGAUACUGUUUUUCUUGAGUAUGGUCAAGGAAGGCGGAAUGUGUAAUGUAGCGGUGAAAUGCUUAGAUAUUACACAGAACACCAAUUGCGAAGGCAGCUUUCUGGCCCAUUACUGACGCUGAGGCACGAAAGCGUGGGGAUCGAACAGGAUUAGAUACCCCCGUAGUCCCU
rnacentral:rRNA from 1 species